rnacentral:lncRNA from 1 species
AAGCCCGGCCUCAGCCUGGAACACCGGAAGAACACGCCCGGCCUCAGCCCGGAACACCGGAAGAACACGCCCGGCCUCAGCCCGGGACACCGCGGGAACACGCCCGGCCUCAGCCCGGGACACCGCGGGAACACGCCCGGCCUCAGCCCGGAACACCGGAAGAACACGCCCGGCCUCAGCCCGGGACACCGCGGGAACACGCCCGGCCUCAGCCCGGGACACCGCGGGAACACGCCCGGCCUCAGCCCGGAACACCUGAAGAACACGCCCGGCCUCAGCCCGGGACACCGCGGGAACACGCCCGGCCUCAGCCCGGGACACCGCGGGAACACGCCCGGCCUCAGCCCGGGACACCGCGGGAACACGCCCGGCCUCAGCUCGGAACACCGGAAGAACACCGGAAGAACACGCCCGGCCUCAGCCCGGGACACCGCGGGAACACGCCCAGCCUCAGCCUGGAACACUGCGGGAAUACGCCCAGCCUCAGUUUUGAAAUAUUGCAUCAGUUCUUCUGCUCCUACAUCAUGGAGCUCUUCCUCAUCAAUAGAUUUAAUUAAUUUAAAUAUUUAUUUACAAUAGCCUCUUUUAUCUUGACCUGUUCUGCACAAGGCAGUCCUGGAUACUGUGCUGAGGGUUUCACUCCGCGAUAGCCGGUGCCCUACCCGAGUCUCUGCACAGCGGCUACAUCCCCGUCUCAAACCAGUGCUCUGGCGUCUGUGUUUACCCUCCCUGAGCUUACUGUAUAAAAAAGACUGCUUUUGAGAGACAUCAAGAAUGCACGGUUCCACCUUUAUGAUGAGAGACAGAUCCCAUUAAAAGAAAAGUUCUGCAUUCUGAAAAACUGAGUAGGUUGGCACUUAAAAGGGAAUUCCAGCUGGUUAAUUUAGGGUGCUGAAAAAAAGAUCCGGCACAGGAAUGCUUUCUGGCUGUGGGCCCACUGCAUUUUCAACUGAUUGCGAACUGGAGACGUUUUCAUCACACGAGGGACUCCGCUUUUCAGUAUCAUGUUGUUCUGAGACAGGAAAACAAUGGCUUAAUGUGAAAAAAAUGUAUAGGAAUCCUCUGUGGGUCCAGGCAGCUCUCCAGGGCAGCUGUCCUCCAUGCAAUGAUCCAGCAAUUCAUACAGCUUUAGCCUGUUGCUCUACCAACUCCACACCAGACCUGGUUCUUUGACAAAGAGAAUGAGAAGCUCAGAUGCUGUGGAGAGACUUUUCGCGGCUUUGGCCUGAAAGUGACACAUAUUGCUUCUGCUCCCGUUUCCUGGGCCAGAAGUUGUUAUAUGGCUCUGCCUAACUGCAAGCGUCUGGGAAGCAUAGUCUCCCAUCUGCCCAGAAAGAAGAAGAGAGCUGGAUAUUGCUGAACACUGGUAAUGGCAUGUUGUCCAAUCAUGCUUCCCAGAAACCGGCAUAGUCCAAAUGGUCUGUGCUCCAAGUGAACAGAAAAAAACCCUAAGUCUGCUGCCACCUAUACAAACUAACAAAGCAAAACACCUCCCAUUGUGAUUUCUCAUUUCUAUAGAGUGUUGAAGUUUCCCUAAAUAAAUUGUCCCUUUCAUAGAAUUUUCUUUUCCAUUUUUCCAAUUUUCUCUUAUUCCAUUCAUUUCAGCCAAAGGAAUGUUGCUCACCUCUCUAGGUAGAGUCUGGAUAACUUUUGCAGUAGCAGUAGCCCCAAGAAUUGAUGCCCUCAGAAACAUGUCUGCAUUUGAAUUACUUCAACUCUGAAUAUUCUUUGUGCUAUUUAUUGUCAAGGCAUUUAAAACUGUAUGAUGCAGUUGGCCUCAAUACUAUUAAUGCACUGUCUUGGUUCCUCAUCCUGGUGGUAGGACUGUUCCUCUCUUCUCAAUACCACUUGGGGGGCUGGCUAUCAAGUGACCAAAUUUAGGGAUGGUUGGGACAGGUAUUGAUGACCUAGAGAUCCAAUAUUCAUUUAUUCUGUUUCUAACACUGUUCAUUGCUUUGUAUAAAUCCAAGUUGCUGUCUGGUGUCAUAUGUCUUCCUCCCAGAGAACUCCCUUUAACAUUUCUUACAUGUAGGUCUGUUGGCAAUGAUUUCUCUCCGUUUUUAUUUGUCUGAGAAAGUCUUUAUUUCUCCUUCAUUUUCUCACAGGGAAUAAAACACUGAGUUGAUAUUUUUUUUUCUUUCAGCGCUUUCAAGAUGUCACCCCAUUGCAUUCUGUAUUGCGUGAUUUCUGAUGUGAGAUCUACUGUAAUUUUUCUGU